UUUCAAAGGGGGAAAGUGAUCGUGGCCUUCCCUGAUAGGAGGCUUUGCGUGGUCUGUCUGGGGGAGUGUCCCUGAGCCCUGCUGGGCCCCUUCCAACCACCAGCAAGCCAGCUGCCUGUCUCUGCCUUCACAGGUUUUCUGAAGUUGGUGGGUGCUGGACGCUUCUGAAGAGGAGUUUUAAUUGGCAGAGGCUGCCGUCUCCCUGGCAGGGAGACAUUCUGGAGGCCUGGGGGCGGGUUGUUUUUUCUUCACUCCAUUAAUACCAGUGACCUUUUUGCCUCCAGCGUUAAUUAAAUACAGACAUUUCAGGCAUCUGCAUGGUCAUGGUCUGGCAUUAUCUUGACCUUAGGCGACUUGGAAAUUCCAUAUUUGGCCUUCACUAAACGAGGCAUAGAAGAGCAAUCAUGGACGAUCUGGAAAUGGAGGGCUUAGAGCCACACCUUGUGGCCACCCAGAGGGGGGCCUGUGUUGCUGCGGAGGUGGGGAGACAGCAGAGCUCUCUGGCUUGACCACCAUGGAUGAAGCUGGGCUCAGCUCUGGGCUGGGGGAGGCAGGAAGGACCUCACGCUCCUGGGACCCAGUUGCGUUCAAGGAGACACAGCCCAGCCAUCUGGGUAACAGGUGAUGAAUGGGAGGUAGGGUGGAAGAUGUCUUGAGGGAUGGGCCAGAUGGUGGGUUACAGAGGGGCAGAGCAGGGCGGUGGGUGUGAGCCCAGAUGUGAGGCUCCCUACCUGGGUGUGCCCUGCGCUGGGCUCCUGACCCAGUGAGAGGCUGAGGCUGGCACCUGCCUGGACGCCUCUGCCACUUGGGCGGAAGGAGGGGGACUUAGUCUCUUGCUGCUGCUCAAAGGAGCGGCUUUCUUCCCGAGUGUCAGCUCAUUUUCCCGCGUCCUUCAGCAAUAACCAGCAUGUGCCGAUAGGCUCCCGAGUCGCUUCCUAGUGCUGCGUUCUCACAAGCCCAACAUCUGUUUCGGUUGGGAUUUUUUUUUUUGAGAUGGAGNNNNNNNNNNNNNNNNNNNNNNNNNNNNNGAUUUUGCUUUUAUGAAGGCCGGGGAGGGAGGGCUCGCCCCUGGUAGGCGGCCGUGCGGGGCAGGUCCCUUGCCGCCUGAGGACCCCAGAGUUGUCGCUAGGGCCUCCUCCUCCACGCUGCCCCACCGUGGCGCUGCCCGACUGUGGGACCGAGGACCAGCUGAGGACCAGCUGAGGCCCAGCUGCUGUUGCCGCUGCCUCCGCCACCCGAGCCUCCUUCCUUCUUUCCUCCCUCCCUUUCUCCUUCUUCCCUUGCUCUUCAGCCCUCUCCACCCUCCACCCUGCAGCUGUGGGGCCUUCGUGUGACCCCUCCACAGCCUGAAGGCAGCUGGCUGUCAGACUCCCACCUUUAGAGGCCUGUGGAUUUGGGAGGGUGGCAAGAGGAGUCUGCAGGGGAGGUGGGACUCAGGCUGUCUGGUAAGUGCCCAGAUCGGACUCAGAGCCGUAGAUCUUGGACCGCGCUGUCCUCUGAGAGAAAGGGCAGCUGAGUCCGCCUUACUGCGUGUCUAAGGGCCGGGGCCCUUCACCGCCCAGCAAAACCUGCUCCUCACGACCAGGAAGAUGGUGUUCCUGGCCUCACUUUGAAGUCUUUUUGUGACACAUCAUCCUGAUGAUAAUUCUGGGGGUGGGCUCGGGCAAGUUCCCCGUGGAUGGAGACCGCUUGGCUCUUUCUUUCCCCCUUACAAGAACCUGGAACGCUUUUUAUUGCCAAGGCUGGGCCGGGUCCCCUUUUCUCAUCUGCAAUGGCCUCUGAGCUGAAGCCUGGCCCGGAUUCGCCCCUCCUCUUGCAUCUCUGGCCUGUGAGUCCUCUCCUCCCUCUAGCCCUGCAGCUCAGCCUGCCCUGCCCUCCCGAGCUCCUUGUGCCCCUGUGUCCCUGUUGGAGCCGAAGGACAGUUGUCUCUGCUGGACUCUGACGCCCGAUUCAGGCACGGAGACCCAGGAGGGACAGCCAGGCAGGUUAGGUGCUCGGCUGCCCUUUGGUCGAGCCCUGCAUGGGGCCCAGGGAUUGAUGCAGAUUGAUUUUUGCUGACCCCUGGGAUGACCUUGGCCAAGUGACUUAAUUCUGUCUCCUCCCCAGUGUGCUUAUAGACAGAGGUGUAUGCACUGGUAGGGGUGCCCUAA
rnacentral:lncRNA from 1 species